rnacentral:rRNA from 1 species
GCCCAAGAGAUCGGGAUAACACCUGGAAACAGAUGCUAAUACCGGAUAAUAACAGAUGAUGCCUAUCAACUGUUUAAAAGAUGGUUCUGCUAUCACUCUUGGAUGGACCUGCGGUGCAUUAGCUAGUUGGUAGGGUAACGGCCUACCAAGGCGAUGAUGCAUAGCCGAGUUGAGAGACUGAUCGGCCACAUUGGGACUGAGACACGGCCCAAACUCCUACGGGAGGCAGCAGAG